UGAACUGAAGAGUUUGAUCCUGGCUCAGAUUGAACGCUGGCGGUAUGCUUAACACAUGCAAGUCGAACGGCAGCACGAGGAGAGUUUACUCUCUUCGGUGGCGAGUGGCGGACGGGUGAGUAAUGCAUAGGAAUCUACCUUUUAGUCUAGGAUAACUACCCGAAAGGGUGGCUAAUACUGGAUGUGGACUAUGGUUUAAAGCAGGGGACCUUCGGGCCUUGCGCUAAGAGAUGAGCCUAUGUGGGAUUAGCUAGUUGGUGAGGUAACGGCUCACCAAGGCGACGAUCUCUAGCUGGUUUGAGAGGAUGAUCAGCCACACUGGGACUGAGAC
rnacentral:rRNA from 1 species